rnacentral:sRNA from 1 species
AAAAAUAAAAUAAAAAAUAAAC